rnacentral:miRNA from 1 species
CACUUAAUACUGUAUUCCCUUUUCUUGUCCUUCAAAUCCCAUACGUAUUUGGAAAGUUCUUUGGAACUUUCCAAAUACGUAUGGGAUUUGAAGGACAAGAAAAGGGAAUACA